rnacentral:lncRNA from 1 species
UUGUAAUCAAAGGAAACCUGCUCUGGGGAUGCAGGUCUGUUCCUGCAUUGCUCAGCCUGGGAUGUCCAGGAGUGAGUCACACUUGCCCCUGCCUCCAGACAUCUCCAUGGAAGGGGUGACCCCUGCCACUUUGGCGACUGCUAAUUUCCAAGCUGCCGCACUGCUCCUGCAUUAUCAUCGUUCUGACUUCAUGAGAAAGUCUAUGGUAAAUUUCUGGAAAGCGAAUAGGAAGUUGUAUUUCUAAGCAGUCUGACACUGAGGGAAGGCAGCAAGACUAUAAGAAGUGUGGGCUGGACAGGAGGCAGAAAGCCAGCAGAGCCGCAGAGG